GGGGGCGAAACGGCUUCGACGGGGAUAAAGAAGCGUCGACUGCAUACCGAGCGCCUGUCGGCUCGUAAAAAAGACGGGAACUAAAUAUAAUCGCAGACGAUUAUAACUACGCCCUGGCCGCCUAGCGGCCAGCGUCCUCCCGGAUGAGGCCUGCGAAUCCGGAUAGGGCGUCGAUCAGCAGGAUAGCGGAUCCCAUUUUCCUGAUACGGGAUUAGCGAAACAUUUUCAGGAUAGCCUUUCAGCCAUCUUGCCUGAUAGAAACCUGAAAAGGCGAAACACGAAGUUCAGGCUAUGUAUGUAGACGUUAACGUGGAAUGUUUCCGGACGCGGGUUCGACUCCCGCCGCCUCCACCA
rnacentral:tmRNA from 1 species